rnacentral:tRNA from 1 species
GUGGUUUUAGCUCAAUAGUAGAGAGGUUGUCUGGUAAACAUGAAGCCUUGUAUGUAACUUCCAAUAUUACAAACAACC